CUGGCUCAGGACGAACGCUGGCGGCGCGCCUAACACAUGCAAGUCGAACGGAGCUUGCACCUCUGAAGUUUCGGAUGGACGAGGUACAAGCUUAGUGGCGAACGGGUGAGUAACACGUGAAGAACCUGCCCUUCAGUGGGGGACAACAGUUGGAAACGACUGCUAAUACCGCAUAAGACCACAGUACCGCAUGGUACAGUGAUCAAAGGAUUUAUUCGCUGAAGGAUGGCUUCGCGUCCGAUUAGGUAGUUGGUGAGGUAACGGCCCACCAAGCCUACGAUCGGUAGCCGGACUGAGAGGUUGAUCGGCCACAUUGGGACUGAGACACGGCCCAGACUCCUACGGGAGGCAGCAGUGGGGAAUAUUGCACAAUGGAGGAAACUCUGAUGCAAGCGACGCCGCGUGAGGGAAGAAGGUCUUCGGAUUGUAAACCUCUGUCUUCAGGGACGAUAAUGACGGUACCUGAGGAGGAAGCACCGGCUAACUACGUGCCAGCAGCAGC
rnacentral:rRNA from 1 species